CGUCGACUGAAGUACAUAUA
rnacentral:guide_RNA from 1 species